CUUAGGUCAGAUUCUGUAAAUUUAUGUAUCUUGAUUGAUUAUCGUUUUCUUAAUUGUUAUAUCAAUACUUAUGCUUAGAUUUACGUAUAAACUACUAUAAUGUAUAAUCUCAUCGAAGUUAGGAUAAGCAUAUAGAUAUAUUCGUCAAUCCCCAAAAAUGCUUCGAUGGUCAAUGUCUCACAGUCUCAGUGAAUGCAACAAAGUUACUUAAUGAGUGAAUAACACAGAGGACAACAGAAGAUCUACGUUAAACACGGAUCUAGUAAACGUGUCUAUUAUCUCAUGAAUAUAUCAGUCUUGUAAACUUUUUUUUUAUAUUAAUUGUGUGUGAGAAAUCACAAAACCUUUAUUGUGUUGAAUGUUGGACACAAAAAUGUGGUAUCGUAAAACAAUUAUUUGAUGGGCUUUAAACAGGCCCUUUCAUAUUUAUUGAUGGGCUGAAGCUCAAAUAAGAUCCAAAUGAACAGACAAAACCAAACAGAAAAGACUUCUCAAUGUCCAAUGAAGAAUUAUGGAGUCAACUUGUUAUGUCUUGCGUAUGUUUCCCAAAUUUUCUUGUCCUAUUCUCUUAUGGAGUAUUAGAGUAAUAUGCUUAUUGUAUGGUUUUUCAGGUUCACAACCUUUUACCCAAUUCACACAGAAACCUCUUUUCUUGACCACAUUGAUUUUGGCUAUUGCUACUUCCGGAGAGCUCUCUCUUUGUUUGUGAAUUUGCUUCAUCCUUCUGGUGAAGCUCAUUUACAAGCAUCCUGCCAAAUGUUGGUUCUCUCAAAUUCUGAUUCCAAACCUGUACGCGUUCGCUGAUUCAACUGUCAUUUCGUUUCAUAAGCCUAUGACCUACCUUUAAGCGUUCGCGUUCGCCAGAUGACUCGAAUCUCCCGGAAUAUGAACCCGUGCAAAUCCUCUGACCAGCGACUAGCGGAACAGUUUGGAAUCACACAAACUAUUUCUACUUCGACUCAAGAAAAUAAGAAGGAGCAAAGCAUCAAAGACUAGCAUUGGUUUUUGCACACAAGCUUAACACAGAGUGUAAAUGGAUGGUGUGAUAUUUAUGUACCAUUUUCAUAAAAACUGAGACUUUUGUGAUUCAUAAGACUUUUUCAUCUAAAACUCUCUGAUGAUAGAUAAUCUACACAAUUCAGUGAAAUUGCCAGAUUACAGCCAUAGCCAUUGAUUCAAAAGCAAAUUCCUUUGGCAAAAACAGAUAAUUAUAAGAAUCAACCCAGAAUAUUCAAUUCAUAAUUAAGAUUCCGAUCCACAAAUAUCUCAUACAAACAAUUCUGAGAGAGAGAGAGAGAGAGAGAG